AUUCCACAUGCUCUCUAACAAAGUUAAUCGGCUGUACAGCAUAUUCCUCAUGCUGCCAGUAAGAUCCAAGCAGCCCCCCCCCCAAAAAAGUUUACUAACCAUAAUAUUUAUUGUAGAGUCUAUAUUUUAAAACAUUAGAAACACUGAAAAAAUGCUUUGUAUACUUUAAUUCUCGGUGUUUAUAAGUUACAGUGUGCUAAAUAAAUGUUAUCCCUAUAAACC
rnacentral:lncRNA from 1 species